rnacentral:rRNA from 1 species
UACGGAAGGCAGCAGUGGGGAAUAUUGCACAAUGGGCGCAAGCUUGAUGCAGCCAUGCCGCGUGUAUGAAAAAGGCCUUCGGGUUGUAAAGUACUUUCAGUCGUGAGGAAGGUGUUAAGGUUAAUAACCUUAGCAAUUGACGUUAGCGACAGAAGAAGCACCGGCUAACUCCGUGCCAGCAGCCGCGGUAAUACGGAGGGUGCGAGCGUUAAUCGGAAUUACUGGGCGUAAAGGGCACGCAGGCGGUUAAUUAAGUUGGAUGUGAAAUCCCCGGGCUUAACCUGGGAAUGGCAUUCAAGACUGGUUAGCUAGAGUCUUGUAGAGGGGGUAGAAUUCCAUGUGUAGCGGUGAAAUGCGUAGAGAUGUGGAGGAAUACCGGUGGCGAAGGCGGCCCCUGGACAAAGACUGACGCUCAUGUGCGAAAGCGUGGGGAGCAAACAGGGAUUAGAUACC